GCGUCCGAUUAGCUAGUUGGUGGGGUAAGGGCCUACCAAGGCGACGAUCGGUAGCUGGUCUGAGAGGAUGACCAGCCACACUGGAACUGAGACACGGUCCAGACUCCUACGGGAGGCAGCAGUGGGGAAUAUUGGACAAUGGGGGGAACCCUGAUCCAGCAAUGCCGCGUGUGUGAAGAAGGCCUGAGGGUUGUAAAGCACUUUCAGUGGGGAGGAGGGUUGAUAGGUUAAGAGCUAAUUAACUGGACGUUACCCACAGAAGAAGCACCGGCUAACUCCGUGCCAGCAGCCGCGGUAAUACGGAGGGUGCGAGCGUUAAUCGGAAUUACUGGGCGUAAAGCGUGCGUAGGUGGUUGAUUAAGUUAUCUGUGAAAUCCCUGGGCUUAACCUGGGCAGGUCAGAUGAUACUGGUUGACUCGAGUAUGGGAGAGGGUAGUGGAAUUUCCGGUGUAGCGGUGAAAUGCGUAGAGAUCGGAAGGAACACCAGUGGCGAAGGCGGCUACCUGGCCUAAUACUGACACUGAGGCACGAAAGCGUGGGGAGCAAACAGGAUUAGAUACCCUGGUAGUCCACGCUGUAAACGAUGUCAACUAGCUGUUGGUUAUAUGAAAAUAAUUAGUGGCGCAGCAAACGCGAU
rnacentral:rRNA from 2 species